CUGCUGCCUCCCGUAGGAGUCUGGGCCGUGUCUCAGUCCCAAUGUGGCCGGCCAACCUCUCAGUCCGGCUACUGAUCGUCGACUUGGUGGGCCGUUACCCCGCCAACUAUCUAAUCAGACGCGAGGCCAUCUCAGAGCGAUAAAUCUUUGGCAGCAAAGCCAUGCGACUUCGCUGCAUUAUGCGGUAUUAGCAGCUAUUUCUAACUGUUAUUCCCCACUCCAAGGCAGGUUCCUCACGUCG
rnacentral:rRNA from 1 species